ACUGGAGCCCCGCCCGGCGUGGCCGUUCGUGGGGGAGGGCCCGGAAGGAGGCGGUGCUGACUCUCGGGGGACUGGGCCGGGCGAAAGGCGUGACCUCCCCCUCGGGGAGAAUUGGAAAAUAGAGGGAAAGUGGAGGAAACACCCACAGUUGCACCACCUGAACAUAAUUUUCCACGUGUGUUCAUUCCCUUCAGGUAUGUUAUCAUAGGUAUGUUUUAUAUUUAGUUUCAUUCAUUCAUUCAACAAGUGUUAAUAAACACCUUCCGUACCAGGCACUGUCUAGUGAACAGAACAAACCCAAACAUUCUGCCUUCAUGGAGUAUAAAUUCUAGCAGAUAAUCGUGUAUACGUUUUUAAUUUGUAAGCAUAGUCAGUGAUGGUACUUUUCAAUUCCUGAUCCACACUACAUGUUUUCCAUGUUACUGCAGACUUGUCAUAAUGAUGAUUUUUAAUCGAUGGAUUGUUUCUUCAGUUAGGGAUGAUUUCCUUAACCGCUGUCAUCUGAUUGCUUCUAGUUUGUGGAUCCUAUGCAUAAUCUUUAACACACCAUUUUAGGUCUUUUCCCGGAAGUGAGAUUCCUAAGCCACACCACCUUGUUUUUACAAAUAUAAAAAGGUGAAUAAUAAUAAAAUUUGAGGAAGACAGUAUCUGCUUCUGGAGAUGGACUUGUCAUGUUAACAGGAGGAAUAGAGCUGCCACCUUCCUCAGUUCAAAAUGGUCCCAGGAAAAGGUGGUGACAGUUUAAGUGGGAUUUUAUUCAUUCUUUGACAGGUAUUUACUGAGUGCCUGUUGUGUGCUUAACAGUGUUCUAGAUGCUAGGCAUAUGAGGGUGAACAGACAGAUAAAGUGUCUGCCAAAAUGGAGCUUUGUGUAAUUGGGGGGACUUAAAUUCUAUGUAGAAAAGAAAAACCCAGUCACUAAAUUCUCAUUGGAAAGAAACUUAAAAAUACAUUUCCUUAAGAGUCAAAACACAUUUACAGCUCUCGUGAAUACUUACCCCAUAGUAAUGAGAUGGUCCUGGCCUUACAGAUCUUGAAUUUAAAUGGUUUGUUUGUGUUUUUGAACAAAGUCAGUUAAGAGAAAUGUACAAAUAAAAGUUUUUGUUAGUGCCUAGUUGGUAGUGUAACCUUAGGCCCAACCAGAGAAGCUGAUCCUGAAAAAUGAUUAGGAAAAAAAAAAUUGUUUCAUUUACACUCUUGCCCUGAGUUUAUCUCUUUAAAAACAGCUCUCUUGAGGCAUAAUUGACAUACAGUAAACUGCACAUAUUUAAAUUAUACAAUUUUAUAAGUUUGACAUAGGUACACACCCAUGAAACCAUCAGCACAAUUAAGAUAGUGAAUAUAUCCAGUGCACUAGCUAGAGUAAUCUUAGUUUAUAAAGUAAAAGUGACUGCUGAUUACAGUUGGGAUUUUUCACAUAAUCUUUUUUUUUUUUUGCAACACAAGUCAAUCUUUAUUGAAAAUUGCAGUAUUAAUACAUAACAAUUCUUGUUAAAAUAAACGUGCUUUUAAGCAUUUUAAGUCUGAGCUUAUCUACUCAUCAGAUUGCAUUAAAAAAUAGCAUGAAUUUACACGUAAUGUAAUUGGCUCAGGAUGGAUGUUCCUUUGUAUUGAUUGACACCUGGAGUUCAGUGCAGAGGUGAGGGGUGCCUUUAACACUGGAAGACAAUGCUGGCUUAAGUUUUAAAAAAGUACUAUGAGAAUGGUCUAAAAAAAAAAAAA